ACCCCGGGGUCUGUACCCGCGGCGUCGGCAUUUGUGCGAUGACUCUCUGAACUACAUCUCCCAGGAGGCUCCGGGAGUAUGAAGAGCCAAUCGGAGGGCGGGUGGGCGGGCCCUCCGGCACUUACGUUUACUAGGGGGUGACGGGCUGAGUCGCCGUUGAUAAGAUUGGCAACCGCAAUGGCCUAUAGCUGCUUCCCGCCAGAGCGGCCGCACUCCAGGCGCUGAGGAGGAGCGGCCGAAGCUGCUGGUAUCCCGGACACAGCGCUGGGAAGUGGAGUCAGCGCGGCACGUGAAGACCUCGGCUCGCGGGAUUCAGCGCCACGGGGCUGCACUGGGGCCGUAGAUCCCCAGUCUUCCACCCCUGAUAAGCCUGUAGAUCAUUCCUGUUUUACGGCGAAUAUUUACCGAGUGCCUACUGUGGACCUCUUACUGUGUCAGCAGCGGCGAGGGUGGUCACGGCAGGCAGUAUCCCGGCCACAAGGAGCUUAUCUCCUGGGGAGGAGUGAGGGGAAGCUCUACCCCAUUGGAGUUGCCUGAUAGACCCCCAGGGAUUUUGGCAAACCCUGAGUUUCUGGGAGAAGAACACAGAGUGGAGCCUUUGGGAAGAAGACUCAGGACUCUGAGGUCACACGUCUCAACAAGGCUUUCUGAAAUGGAACCGCAGCAGCCUGUGUGGGGUGAGGCCUCUGGGUCUGAAUUUGC